GAUGAACGCUGGCGGCGUGCCUAAUACAUGCAAGUCGAGCGAACAGACGAGGAGCUUGCUCCUCUGACGUUAGCGGCGGACGGGUGAGUAACACGUGGAUAACCUACCUAUAAGACUGGGAUAACUUCGGGAAACCGGAGCUAAUACCGGAUAAUAUAUUGAACCGCAUGGUUCAAUAGUGAAAGACGGUUUUGCUGUCACUUAUAGAUGGAUCCGCGCCGCAUUAGCUAGUUGGUAAGGUAACGGCUUACCAAGGCAACGAUGCGUAGCCGACCUGAGAGGGUGAUCGGCCAAACUGGAACUGAGACACGGUCCAGACUCCUAGGGGGGGCAGCAGUAGGGAUUCUUCCGCAAUGGGCGAAGGCCUGACGGAGCAACGCCGGGGGAGUGAUGAAGGUCUUCGGAUCGUAAAACUCUGUUUUUAGGGAAAAAAAAAUUUGUAAGUAACUAAGCACGUUUUGACGGUACCAAAAAAAAAAGCCCCGGCAAACUACG
rnacentral:rRNA from 1 species